GAACUUAAACAAUUUUCCUUCCAAUGGUAUUUGAAGUUUAAUAAUACUAUUGUUUAACAAUUCCUCGAAAACUUAAUAAGCAAACUUGCUUUCACAAUAAAGGUUUAAGACAACUAAUGAGUCAAGUUUCAUUCCUAGAAACAAGUUUCAUUAGGUAUUUUGAUUCGGUUCUAGAUUACAAAAGAUAUUUUUCAAUACCCAAUGAAUCAAAUAUCAAACUAUGGAUGAUCAAAC
rnacentral:lncRNA from 1 species